GAUGAACGCUGGCGGCGUGCCUAAUACAUGCAAGUCGAGCGAACAGACGAGGAGCUUGCUCCUCUGACGUUAGCGGCGGACGGGUGAGCAACACGUGGAUAACCUACCUAUAAGACUGGGAUAACUUCGGGAAACCGGAGCUAAUACCGGAUAAUAUAUUGAACCGCAUGGUUCAAUAGUGAAAGACGGUUUUGCUGUCACUUAUAGAUGGAUCCGCGCCGCAUUAGCUAGUUGGUAAGGUAACGGCUUACCAAGGCAACGAUGCGUAGCCGACCUGAGAGGGUGGUCGGCCACACUGGAACUGAGACACGGUCCAGACUCCUACGGGAGGCAGCAGUAGGGAAUCUUCCGCAAUGGGCGAAAGCCUGACGGAGCAACGCCGCGUGAGUGAUGAAGGUCUUCGGAUCGUAAAACUCUGUUAUUAGGGAAGAACAAAUGUGUAAGUAACUAUGCACGUCUUGACGGUACCUAAUCAGAAAGCCACGGCUAACUACGUG
rnacentral:rRNA from 1 species